rnacentral:rRNA from 1 species
CCUACGGGAGGCAGCAGUGAGGAAUAUUGGUCAAUGGGCGAAAGCCUGAACCAGCCAAGUAGCGUGCAGGAUGACGGCCCUACGGGUUGUAAACUGCUUUUGUACGGGAAUAACAAGCCUUACGUGUAGGGCUUUGCAUGUACCGUGUGAAUAAGGACCGGCUAAUUCCGUGCCAGCAGCCGCGGUAAUACGGAAGGUCCGGGCGUUAUCCGGAUUUAUUGGGUUUAAAGGGAGCGUAGGCCGCAUGUCAAGCCCGCUGUGAAAUGUCCGGGCUCAACCCGGGCCUUGCAGGUCGAACUGGCGUGCUUGAGUCGGCGGAAAGUAGGCGGAAUGCGUGGUGUAGCGGUGAAAUGCUUAGAUAUGACGAAGAACCCCGAUUGCGAAGGCAGCUUGCUGCAGCGGAACUGACGCUGAUGCUCGAAAGCGUGGGUAUCGAACAGGAUUAGAUACCCGGGUAGUC